rnacentral:rRNA from 1 species
UACAGAGGUCUCAAGCGUUGUUCGGAUUCAUUGGGCGUAAAGCGCGCGUAGGUGGCCCGGUAAGUCCGCUGUAAAAGUCCAGGGCUCAACCCUGGAAAGCCGGUGGAUACUGUCGGGCUCGAGUCCGGAAGAGGCGAGUGGAAUUCCUGGUGUAGCGGUGGAAUGCGCAGAUAUCAGGAGGAACACCGAUGGCGAAGGCAGCUCGCUGGGACGGUACUGACACUGAGGCGCGAAAGCGUGGGGAGCGAACAGG